CAGGUAGAAGAAUGUCUGCGACUAAGCCGAGGGCCACUUGAUAAGGGUUGUUGAUGGUAAAACAGAUUGGAGACUACAUAAGACUUUGACAGAUGGCGGGAAACCCUCAUGAACUGGAUAGAAGCCGGUAGAGGAAUGUCUGCGACUAAGCUGAGGGCCACUGGAUAAGGGUUGUUGAUGGUAAAACAGGUAGAGGAAUGUCUGCGACUAAGCUGAGGGCCACUGGAUAAGGGUUGUUGAUGGUAAAACAGGUAGAGGAAUGUCUGCGACUAAGCUGAGGGCCACUGGAUAAGGGUUGUUGAUGGUAAAACAGAUUGGAGACUACAUAAGACUUUGACAGAUGGCGG